CGAAUUCAAUGGUGGGAUGCACGUGAGAGUGAAGAAGGGACAUAGUACGGAUUUGGAAUCACGCAUAUAGAACAACAACAGUCCAGGAUCAGCUGCCCACCGACGUCAGUGGUACCGUCCAGAUUUGGUUUAUUUUUCGGAGUUAGAUAGAAAGAACAAACAUCCAAGAUGGACGCGAUUAAGAAGAAGAUGCAGGCCAUGAAAAUGGAGAAGGAUAGCGCCAUGGACAAAGCCGACACUUGUGAAGGCCAGGCCAAGGACGCAAACCUUCGUGCAGAUAAAGUUAACGAAGAUGUGAGAGAAUGUCAGAAGAAAUUGACUCAGGUAGAAAGCGAUUUGGAUACCAAUAAAAACAAGUUGGAAGAAGCUAUUAAGAAUUUAGAAGAAAGAGAGAAAUCGUUGACUGCUGCCGAAAGCGAGGUUGCUGCCUUAAACAGAAAAGUUCAAAUGAUUGAAGAGGACCUCGAAAGAUCCGAAGAAAGGUCUCAAGCUGCUGCCUCAAAAUUGGCUGAAGCUUCUCAGGCGGCAGAUGAGUCUCAACGUAUGUGCAAAGUAUUGGAAAACCGUAGCCAACAAGAUGAGGAACGUAUGGAUCAACUGACUAACCAAUUGAAGGAAGCAAGACUUUUGGCUGAAGAUGCUGACGGAAAAUCCGACGAGGUUUCAAGAAAACUGGCCUUUGUUGAAGAUGAACUGGAGGUUGCUGAAGACCGAGUAAAAUCUGGAGAUUCAAAAAUCAUGGAAUUGGAGGAAGAAUUGAAAGUUGUAGGAAACAGUUUGAAAUCAUUGGAGGUUUCAGAAGAAAAGGCCAAUCAAAGAGUGGAAGAAUAUAAGCGACAAAUCAAACAAUUGACUGUCAAAUUGAAGGAGGCCGAAGCUCGUGCUGAGUUUGCUGAAAAGACAGUCAAGAAAUUGCAAAAAGAAGUUGACAGACUUGAAGAUGAUCUUAUCAAAGAGAAAGAAAAGUCCAAAGACAUCACAGAUGACUUGGAUUCUACAUUUGCUGAACUCACUGGCUACUAAUCUAAUAGGAUUUGUCUAACAUUAUUUUUUUAUUAAUUUAUAAUUAUAUUAUAACUAAAACAAACGUAGUUCUUUAUAAAAAAAAUGCUUUUUUAAAUUAAUUUUUAUUAUUUUAUUUUGCUUCUUUUUGUUUUAUUGCGAUUUGUCUUCUGGUUGUUGCUGUACAAUUUGCUUCUAUAAUAUAACAGAUGAACUCGGCCUCAACAAAGACAGAUACAAGUCUUUGGCUGAUGAGAUGGAUUCCACAUUCGCUGAAUUGGCUGGAUACUAAUCCGGUUUUGUCAAGAAGGUUUACGUUUGAAAUACAUUACUACCACAAAGAUUUUAUCAAAUAUAAUAUUACCAUCGUCGAAUUUAUUAAUAAACCAAAAGAUAUUACAAUAAUA